GGGAUGGGAUUUUCAGGUGCUAGUUUGGAACUGUAUCUAACCCAUACUAAAAAUAUUUCAGCAGUUCAACAGGGGCGCGGGGUUCAGUUCGACGACGACGAGCCAGGUAGCUGGUCUUCGCAUCAUGAAAUGGUGUAGUUCGAUCUUGUGCAAUUGGAAAUUCUCCGAUGCUGAGUGUUCAGUACCUGAGUGUGUCAGUACAACCCUACGCUACAAGGCACGCGUACAUCCACUUCAUGUGUUAGUCAACAGUAUUGUGCAUUUGCUUGACAGCUUUAGUACUCUAGUUACAUAUCACUUGCUAAAUAAAAAAAAUGUUGUUCACUUUUCUGUGUUUUGUUUAAUAAUGCUCAUGCUUUAUUUUCUGAGAGCUACAAAAUCAUAGUGCUUAAAAUACCGAUGUGUGCAUCAUGUUGAAUUAAAAAAGUUACAGGAGAAAGUACCCUUAUUCCAUUACUUUGAGAAGUACAAGUACACAUUUCUGAUAGUACAGUGCAAGCCCGGUGCUGGCUAUUAUAGCUCUUGGCAAGUGCAAGGCUUGCCGUUAACUUUCCUGUUUCUCUAGUUGAAAAUUUUGAUGCUAUGUAGGUGCUUGUUAGGACUCGGGCACGAGCUAGUCCACCAGGGGUGCUGGCAGCCGUCCAAGUGGACCGUUGACACCAGUACAAGUAGAAUCGCGGGUCACGGCCACCAACUUCACCGCAGUUGCCGUUUGGUACAAAAAAUUACAUCAGUUCGUUAAACAAAGAUAGAAACACAUUUUCUAGUUUAGUGCCUAUACUAAAAACCAUUUCAGUAGCUAAAAAACUUUUAAUGAGUUCCUUGUGCGAAAUGCAGAAAGUUCAGUUAGAACAAUCGUGGAAGUUGGAAAAUAUAUAAACCCAUGUCGCUCCCCAACAUAUUCUAUGUAAAAAGCAAACACUAUGUAUUCUAUGGGUGCUAGAGAAUCAGCUAAGUUCAAUGGGUGCCCAGAACCUGUUUGUUGUAAUGUUUCUAAGAAAUUGGACUUUAUUUUAGGUUCUCUUUUUGGCUAAAUUGAUUUAUUUCACAUGAAAUCAAACCUAGAUAUGUACGACUUGCUGCAUCCAGCUGUAAUGAGUUUGCUAUGGAGCAGUACACAUAUUUAAACUUUCAUAUAGUUGCAAAAACAUGAAUUCUCAUUCCCAAAAACCCAAAAAAACAUCAAUUUAUAUUGAUAGUUGUUCUAGUCCUUAUGUUACAACAGUGCAAUGACAAAAAAUUCAUCGGAUCGAAAACAUGGACAUGCUAAUGCUGUAGAGAUCUUGUACGCGGCCACAAGGAUGUCAGCUGCAAUGAUGCGAAAGUGAUGAGAUAUCUAGGUGCCGCCGUGCGUCGCCAGCGGCAUCGUCCCUGACCAGGGCACCAAGCCGAGGGACUUGCUACUACUGCACUCUACAUUUGACACAUAAAUAUGGAAAUGCAGUAAGCUGCAGGUUAUUGUGGAGCUCAUGCACACCAAUUUUUUGCUAAAAAAUGCCACAGUACAAAUAAAGGUAAGCUUGCGCAUGUAUUUCUGAGCAAUCAAUAUUUUUGAUUAACCAGGAAUUGUAGAUUCUGGAAAGGGAGACUCCCACAAGUAGAUUUAAGAUAUGAUUUAUUAGAAGUUAUAGCUCUUUUCGAGGUUUAUGGCCAGCUCGUUCAUCCAGUCUCCAUGCAAAUCCAUGGGAUGACCUCUACCUGCACGUACUUGUUGUUAAAAUGUUAUGUUUUCAAACUUGCUAUGUAGGUAUUCCUAGUGCUGGAGAAUUGUCUCAAGCCAAGUUGCUUGUCGUGUCGUGUCGGCUUGCCAUCAACCACAGUUCUGGCUCAACCCCCACGGUGCUUCCACGACCACCACAUGCAGCCUCCCUCUAUUGUUGCCCUCACCAUGCUCUCUCGUAUUGGCGGCCUCGAUGAGCUGACCAAUUGGUUGCCGCUCCUGCGUGCUGCAGUGCGCCGCCGAGCUGGUCACCAUUUAUAUUUUUGUUUUAAGUUCAUUUGUGUUCUUGUUGUCAGGUUGCCUGCAAAUUUGUUAUUGUUGUUAGUUCAUGUGUGUUCUUGUUGUUAGGUCCUGUGCAAGUUUGUUAUCGGUUCACUGUGCAAAAACUCAGUGGUUCAAAUGUGAAAAAUAAUUUCUUCUAAUCUAGUUCCCACCAUGCAUUUUGUCUGUGUAGAAUUUCAUCUAAUCUAGUUCGAAUUUCAUCUAACCUCCAGCGACGCACCACACCCUCCGCCUCCCACCUCCGGCGACGCGCCAUGGAUCUGCCUCCGCAUGGGCGGCCACCGGUGGGAAGGAGGAGCAUUGGCAACAACCUCCUCCGCCCCUUCCUACUCCUCCCCGCUGCGCGACGACCACCUCUGUCGCCCCGGGAUCCCAGCUGCAUGCAUUCAGGAGCAAUAAAAAGAGGGGUUAAUUGGCCGUCCACACUACCGCUCCUCCCAAGUCCACCCUAAUAUUAUCACAAAAAGCAGAGGAUGUCUAUUUUAUUUCCUGAAACACAAACUAGGUGUUCUCAGUUCAGUACGUGAGCUAUCUCAAGUUCUUGGAAAACAUAUAAAACAGUACGGUGCUUGUGCAAAAAAUUCAGACUGCUUUUUAAUUAUACAUCAGUUUACUAUAUAGUAGAAUUGUAGUUGUUCAGUAAAAAGGUUCACUACCCCAACUGGGGGAUUUUCAAUCAGUUUUGUCUUUCUUUUCCAACUGAAAGUUGUAGCAAAUGUGAACUGAAGCUGUUGUGGAGCAAAUUAGUAAUAGUUGCCUACUAUUUUGUCGCUGCUACUUUGCCACCAAGAUUAAUACUACUACUACUUAUCGUGUUGCUAAAACCUCGUGUUCUGGACAAUUUGUUGGUGGAUGAGCACUAUGUGAUGCCUUCCUAAGUGCUCUACCGAUAUUGCUACUUUGUACUGAUGCUUUCCAAAGUUUAGUUAUUUGCAUCGCAAAAGUAUAUACAUGUUACUCCAGGAUAUGAAGUUCGAUGGAUGUGGAAGUUUAUUUUAACUUGAACUAUUAAGUGCUUACAAAGUAUAUACUAUAGUAUUUUCUGCAUGCUGCUCCGAACUGUUGUAGACUAGUAUCUGUUUUAUUAAUUACUCCCUCCGUUUCUAAAUAUAAGUCUUUUUAGAGAUUUCAAAUGGACUACCAUAUACGGAUGUAUAUAAACAUAUUUUAGAGUGUAGAUUCACUCAUUUUGCUGCGGAUGUAGUCACUCGUUGAAAUCUCUACAAAGACCUAUAUUUAGGAACGGAGGGAGUAGUAUGCAAUAGUAGUUUUGUCUCAGUUUGGAGUCUCAAUUAGUGACUUGAUUAAGCAUCUUUGGCCUGUGUGCAGAGUGGAUCAUUGGGUGGAUUAGUACUUAAGUACACAAAAGUCAGCGUCUUGGUUGUGAUAAAAGUUGUUUACUGAGAAUUUUUUGGAAAGUAUUUCUAACUUUUUUGUUUCAUCUACAGGGUCCAGUCCCAUAUAUCUUUUUUUGUUAGUUUGUUGUUAUGAACAGUACAUAUGCACAUUGUUGUGUAGUACAUGUGUCCAUUGAUGUGUUCGAAUCCCUUCCGUUCACUUUGAUUCCUACAGGUGGUUCAAUGUGUUGAGUGGCAGCAUCGCUUGAUCCCUAGUGGUGGCCCGUGCAAGGAGCAUACAGGGACGCUACAGUGGUGGAGGAGCUACUACUACAUGUAGUAGCUAGCUCAAGAAAAGGAGGUUCAAAAGACUGCCAUGUAGCAAGUUCAAGAGUUUAGUUUCGUGAAAAAAGUGCUUGGUCAGGAUUUUACAGGAUCUUUGGGUUAGCAAUGGUUAAUUGGCUUACCCCCGGUGCUUGUCGGCAAGCCGGGCGCCGGGCCAACCACAAGGCAAUGCCACCAGGUAGGGAGCGAGAUGGCUGCCAAGUGCGACAUGAGCCUUUCUGACCUCAUUUCCAGGUGCAGCGCCAGGGAUCUCACUGUGGGGUGCACGAAGGCACUAGCGACUCUGCUUCCAUUUCUCUUUAGAAGUUCUGCUAACCAAUUAGCCACUGAUAACAUGACUUUGCUUCCAACUAGACACUGAAAGUUGUGGCCAUUUAAUGUCACCUUCUAUAUUUAAGAUAGGUCAAACUGUAACCUUCCAA